rnacentral:rRNA from 1 species
CGUUGUUCGGAAUUACUGGGCGUAAAGAGUGUGUAGGCGGUGUUCCCAGUCUGUUGUGAAAUCUCCCGGCUUAACUGGGAGGGUGCAGCGGAAACUAGAAUGCUAGAGGGUGGGAGAGGUAAGCGGAAUUCCUGGUGUAGCGGUGAAAUGCGUAGAUAUCAGGAGGAACACCUGUGGUGUAGACAGCUUACUGGACCACUUCUGACGCUGAGACACGAAAGCGUGGGUAGCAAACAGG